rnacentral:sRNA from 1 species
CUCCGUACGGGGAAGGAUGAGAAGCUUCGACUAAGGUUCGAUUCGAGCGAAAGCGAGAAAGCGUUGCCAACGGCAACGACCCGAAGGGCGAAGCGCGCAGCGCUGAGUAAUCCUUCCCCCACCACCA